GACAGGUGUCACAGGUGCCAGGUGUCACAGGUGCCAGGUGUCCUGACAGGUGUCCUGCCAGGUGUCCUGACAGGUGUCCUGCCAGGUGUCACAGGUGCCAGGUGUCCUGCCAGGUGCCAGCCCAGGUGCCAGCCCAGGUGCUGUGACACUCGCCCGCCCCCAGGCCCCCCCCGCCAGUGGAGAGGGGAGGAGAACCCCGAGUGGACGUUGGGGUUGAGGCAGGAAGGGAUCAGGGACGGAACCCAAAUAAACGCCGGGGUAAUGACGGUCACUGUCACCGUCAUCGUCACCAUCGU
rnacentral:lncRNA from 1 species